AUUGUAGGCCUCGAAAUCAACGGAAAAUCAAGGCAACACUAGUCAAUCUCCGUUGCCUUCUGUACCUUCUGCAACUCACGAUCAUAGUACUCAGGAUUCCGUCGCUUCGUCAUCGACAGUUGCUCACACCUUCAGUGGUCACCAUCAUUCUAUUCUUUCUCAGGUGAAUUUGUCGAUUGACCCCAUAAAUCCGUUGUCCACAAUGAUAAGCCAACACAAAUACCAAGAGGCUUUCACUACAGCCUUACAAAUGCGUGAUGUGUCAAUUGUGAAUUGGAUUUGCUCCCAGGUCUUGACUAUGGAUCCUCUCCCUUUGAGUCAAGAAGUAUUGCUUCAAUUGUUGUGGUUUUUACCAUAUUGUAUCAAUACCAACCCAGCCGUAAUAAUUGCUUGGAUGACACACGUUUUUAAUUCCAUAAUCCCAACUGAUCCGGCAAUUGAAAUGCAUGUGCGGCCCAUUUUCAAUCAAGUUUAUGCCGCACUCAACCAUAUAAGUGUCCUGCCCACAAUUACUGAUGCUGUGCGGUCAACUAUACGUCUUCUGAUGAAUGGUUUACUUCCACCUUGAGACCAAAAUGAUAGUUAAUGAGCUGAAAUGAAUAUUUUGUGUGGGAGUUGUAAUGGAGCUAGCUUUCAGAUGGACUCCUGGAUGUAAUGGAGUUGUAAUGAAGAUUGACUCCAUUAUUUUAUUUUAUUUUACUUUUUUUUGUUGUUCUUAUAUGAUGUUCAUAUAUGUUGUGUACUAGCUUAAAGAGGUUGAAGUGAAUUUUGGA